AUUGAACGCUGGCGGCAGGCCUAACACAUUCAAGUCGAACGAUUGGCGGACGGGUGAGUAAUGUCUGGGAAACUGCCUGAUGGAGGGGGAUAACUACUGGAAACGGUAGCUAAUACCGCAUACCAUCAGAUGUGCCCAGAUGGGAUUAGCUUGUUUGUGGGGUAACGGCUCACCAAGGCGACUAUCCCUAGCUGGUCUGAGAGGAUGACCAGCCAAACUGUAACGGAGACACGGUCCAGAAUCCUACGGGAGGCAGAAGUGGGGAAGAUUGCACAAUGGGAGCAAGACUGAUGCAGCCAUGCGGAGUGUAUGAAGAAGGCCUUCGGGUUGUAAAGGACUUUCAGCGGGGAGGCGUUACCCGCAGAAGAAGCACCGGCUAACUCCGUGCCAGCAGCCGCGGUAAUUC
rnacentral:rRNA from 1 species